GUUAUAAGAGCUUCUAAUUUGAUGUGGCGUGUGAUAAGGGCAUCUAGAUGUGGGUUUGGGAGGGAAAAAAUUCGGGUCUUUUUUUCUUGAUAUGGGCAGACACGGGAUCCGGGUUCUGACCCGGAUAUAAAUACCAUCUAAAUCACGCUCCUUUUGUAAUCCCUGUUCUAAACCCUAGCCUCUCCAUCCUUCCUCUUUCGCCGCCGCUUCUCUUCGUGCCCUGAAACCUUCCUUCCCCUUUGUUGUUCUACAUCUCUUGAAAAUCACUGACCUUUAUCUUCAAGUAACAACCAUUAUCUAAUCGAUUCACACAAAAACCCUAACCUCUUCAUUUACAUGCAACUCUUUACCCUUCUAAUCGGCGGCUAUGUACAAUUUGUUCCGAAUCAAACUCCAAUUUCUUCAUGUCAAGGAAAAUCGUUUUUUUUUUCUCCGGAUAGUAUGACUUCGCUUCCAUGGGAUGAUCGGAAACCGAAAUCGGUGGCUAGGAUGAAAAGAGCGAAGGGAAUUUGGCGAUUUCGAAGAACAGUUCACGGUAUCUCUUACAUCAACUAUUUUAAAAGCCAUACAUUAGAAACUGCUGAAGCAGCCCUUUGAUUGGCCUUCGAUUUUACAUCAGGUAAGAUAUCUUCUACUCCCUUUUAAGAGGUCAUUGAUCUCAUCAUAAUAUAGUUAUUGCCUUCUCAAACCACUGGAUUUGGCCUCUUUUUGCAAGCUAAUCACCAUUCUUGCUAUGUUACACAUUUACUUUACAUCAGGUAAGAUAUCUUGAACUCCCUGUUAAGAGGUCACUGAUCCCAUCAUAAUAUAGUUAUUGCCUUCUCAACCCACUGGAUUUGGCCUCUUUAAUAGAUUACUUGUAAUCAUGUUCCAAUGAUUUUCAGUAGUUAAAUUAUGUAUGUAGUGAACUUAAGUAACUUUUAAUAAUGCUAAUUAACUUUACUUUAUUAAUAUAAAAGACAUCACCAUUUGCUGCAAGUGCCAUCAACAUGUAAUAACUGGACUAUGUUUGUGUACCAUAAUUCUUAAUAUAUUGUGUACUACUAUGAUUACUUAUCACAUUAUCCAUACGUACAAGUGCUAUUAUAUAUAUUGAGGUUACUUUGGCAAAGCAACCUAAGAAAUCUUUAUUGCCAAAGAAAGAAGAGAGUUGUGAAGACUGACCAUGGCUUAGAUGAUCGCAACUAUAAUGAACAAGAGCUUUAUAAAUCUAUACCAAGUUUUUUCCUCUGUUGAAAUAACAAACAUUUCGUAUUAUUUUCCUACAACUGAAGCAUAUUUUUUAUUUUGUGUUCAGUCUAGCGCGUUUAGAGCUAUCUGGUGUACUCUUUGAAAAGGUUCUACUUCUCGCUUGGGAUACGUGAAAGGGUUAAGUGUAAUUUUAUAUUAUGAUGACAGCAAUGAGUUCUACUGUUUUAUUGGACUUUCCCUGUCCGUCGGACGAUGUUGAGAUGAAUUCUUGACUGUAUAAAGUCGCCAAUUGCUGCAAGUUAAUAAGAGUCAUCUCUUUUUCAAGUUGCCAACCCCAGUCGACCAUUACCCAUGUAGGCUGGCUUGGCCAAUGCUUCUUGAUAAUCCAUUUGUUGCAUGUUCUCAUGUUCUCUUGACGUUUCAGGCUAGGAUACUUAUCUUCUCUUAUUUAGUUCUAAGUCGGAUACCAUUUGAUUCAGCAGUAAAUGGCGGAGUUUGGGAAGAAGAUCGGGCGUCUAAGAGUUUUCUUUAAGGAAAUAAGGCAAUUGUUGCUGGAAAGUGGAACUGAUGUUAGGUGUUGGUUCUACUCUUCUUAUUUUGGUGGCUCAUAAAGGACCUCUUGCCCUUUUAAAGGUUUGAUACAAAAAGGUCAUUGAUCUCAACAGAGUUAUCUUCUACUGUUAGAUGUUAUAAUCAGGAAUAAUAUGAUUGAUAUUAUAAUGAGCCACGAGCAACAGAAGAUGCAAACAUUAAUCAAAGAGGAAAUGGCAACUUCGUAUGGAUACAAUGAGCAUCACAGAAUACCAGACGAAAUGGACCGUUUGGAAGGGCUGAAAUGCAUUAAUUUUCUCAGGUAAAAGAGUGCAUUUGGACCGGAUGCUGGAUAAGAUUAAAGUUACCUCUUUCAACUGGUUCAAAAAUCGAUCCAAGCUAAGCGAAUUUGAGUCAGAGUACCAGAGAGCUUUUGAUUUUUCCUAAUGUUUUUUUGAUGUAUUCAGUUGGGUGAUAAAUCUUUACAACUGUUGGGUGUAUGUGUUUUUUAGUUACCGGCUAGAAACAGGUUGUGUAUAUAAAAAAAGGUCAAAUAGCCAUUGUUCUUAAAUUUGGUCAA